rnacentral:rRNA from 1 species
UCCGAUCUCAGAUCAGACGAGAUUACCCGCUGAAUUUAAGCAUAUCAAUAAGCGGAGGAAAAGAAACU